rnacentral:rRNA from 1 species
CACCCCAGGCCAAUGACUACGAGAACAGCUAACGUUACUAUCUGAGGGAGAAGUGAAGAGAAGUCAGUUGACACACCACAUCUCGGCUAGCUCGACACCUUCGCCUCGGUACCUUAGCCGCCGCUCGCGGAAGGACUCCUCGCACUACCCCUUCGACAAGGUCCACGACCUCCUCAUGUUGUUCGUCUUCCCGGAGGCCGUCCUGUGGGAGAGGUAGGUCGUCCUGCAGGCGUACUAGCGGCGGCGGUACCUGCUGGCGGAGGUGCGGGACGCGUCCCCGCUCGUUGCGUGGCGGCAACGGUCCUAGAUGUCGCUCCUCUACGAACCGGACCACGUGCUGCGGGUCCUGACGUAGCUGGCGUAGCAGGUGGCGGAGUGGACGUCCGGGGCGCAACCGCCGCCGCCUCCGCCUCCUCCUCGCCGCGACUAGGCGGCCCAGCGGCGGCAGCGGGUGCUCGACUCCUUCCAGGUCUCAGCGAGCCCGAAGCGGCUGCUCUAGGCGGUCGAGUUCCGGGCGGAGUUCGACCGCGUGCUCGCGCAGGAGCCGUAGGGGUAGGGGGGGCGGCGGCGGUCGACGACGGUGCUCAAGCGCCGCCGCCGCGGCAGCACAGCAAAGCGCGCGUUGGGCCACCCGUAGCCCUCCGGGCACCUCCUAGAGGACAGCUACGACCUACUCCACCUCCCGCUCUUCCUCGUCGACUCCCACUAGAGGCACCACCCCAAGCCGCCGAACCCCUUCUGGUGGGAGCGCUCCCGACACAUGCUCCUGGGAGUGCGGCACCUCUUUAAGGUAACGGCACGAACCCAACGGCGGCCAGCCACCAGCGGUCUCCAGUGGCCGGUGCCCCAGCCACUCUAGGAUGCGCUACAUGAGGUCGUUCAAGCGGGGUUUCUGCGGUACCUGCAACAACGACUAUUACCGGUUGCAUAACUUCGGAACGAGUUCCUUAUGGAGUUCCUAUUCUCCAUAAAUUAACAGUAUCUACUGUACCCCUACCUCGUUACCUCGUGAUAUUUAAGGUAGAAGCUUUUGUUACCGUUUUCGUCGUCUUAGGAUGACUGGUGUUGAUAAGUCAGUUGUCGAUUAUAGACGUCGGUACCGUUACCAAUACACAUGGUUUACUUGUGUGAACCACUUCUCCUGAGGUUCUUUUAUCGAGAAGUCCUCCAUGCCAGUGGACUCGACCUCGUCCCCAGGUACGGCGACGACGUCUUUACGCCACCAGAAGGUGAACGAGAGCAGUCACAGAGGCUAAAGGACUUUACGAGUCCACUCGGAUGCCCCCUCGCUACGUGUCUCGAUACGGCAUUGGACCCAAGAGUAGACUCUCUCUUCGUACCGGUACUGUUAAAGCGUCUUGAUUCUUUCCACGACUACGUAUUGAUACUGUCAAACAGUCACAUACGAUACUGGACGAACGAUAUAGAACCACAUAAGGGAUUGUUAGCAGGGGAGUUCUCCUUUCAACAAUAGUCCUCCACCAAUCGCCUUCCUAUACGUGCCUCACUAAGAGAAGCGUCACUCCUCCUGUAACGCCUACUCUGAAAGUUCCGCGAACAGCUGGCCUUAUAGUAUGUCAGGUAACCGUGUUCCUUAUUACGCGUUCACUUCUGCACGUACUGAGUACCGUAGUACGUGCUCAAGCACGACGUGUUCAGGCACAGUGUCCCCAAGUAGCGCUGUAGCAGAGCACUAGUAGGUUCUGGGGUACGGAUACAAUUAUUACGGACGGUGGAAAGGUAGGUACCACCGUUACACUGUCUAUCACUCCGGAGACUGCUCCUAAAUAGAGCACAAGCCAGAGAUUGUCAGAAACCUUUUCGUCCACUACGAUAAAGAAUACAAGCAUUUACGUUUGACGAUGCUCAGAACCUAGACCUUCUUACGUCACUAGACCUUCUAUCAGUGGAGUUUGUGUAUCCGUUCGAUACCGUAGAUUUUAUAGAUUCACAACCCCCGUCAUAACGCUUCGAAGGCUCGUCGUAGCUACCUGACGUGACGAAUCUCUGGGACCUAAAUUCCUCUUGGUUCUAUUUCUGUCACGGGUAACUCCGGUAAUACGACAUGGUGAAUCGAGUAGACAAGCCUUUCAAAUGUCAACUGUUUCUUCUAGAUUUGUUACGUUUGUUCUACUCGUUUCGUUGCUUCAAGAACAGGCCUUUGUUCUCGUUGGACUUCUGAAAUCGACCUAAACAGUGUUUGCUUUCCGUUCCCAAAGAAGUUGAAUACCAAGUGUACUCUUUAGACUCUUUCCAGUUCUAUACCACACCCGGUCAACGUUUACCUUCAUUGAUGUGGUUACUAGAAAGGUUCCGGUAAGUCCUCAAGUGGUUCCAGGGGUACCUGUUACACCCACGGGCAAGAGAUAGUGAACUAAGUCUUCUUACAAGGCUUCUGAACGACUCAAGCGAACGAAAACUCGGUACGAGCCUCCUAAGGUUUAUACUACAUUCCAGUGACUUCGAUGCACCGUUCGAUGAGGUCAAUGGGGGCAAACAAGGGAACGACAGUCCAGAGUGACUUGACACAUAAAGUAGUCGAUGAGACUGUGCCCUAGAAGAUAGCAGAGACUAGUUAAACUCUUUGAACGAAAUGGAGUUCAACUAACGCUUACUCGAACUCUCUAAACUUUACUUUAGUCCCCGUAAGGGUUCGGACGCAGCAGACACGAAACAUCACGUUUCAGAGUGAAGUCGAGACGGUCGUUAGCUUGUUCCUCGAGACGGCUUGGAACAAAGUGAGGUCGACGAGACGGGCUCAGAUCAACCAGAAAGGCCGUAGGUUUAGUCUGUGGAGUCUGUAGAGUUCCUUCAGUACCAACUGAGACCUCACGGACUGGUUUGUGCUGUUCUGACCCUCGUUCGUUGUUUCUUGGUAGGCUUAUCCGGCUCUGAGUACAACGUGUUUUCACCACAAGCUCACCUUUCGCUCCCAGGCCCCUUACUUCUUCAAAGUCGACACUCCCUGUUCGCCUUUUAUACACAUCAGGUUGGUUCAAACCUACUACCUGACCUAAGAUCAGAGUUCUUCUACUCUGAAAGUAGUCUCAGAAGAAGCGCCGAAGUUCACUAACAGGUUAGUUGAAGGAGUAGACCAGUGACUCCGUCUGCCGUUACUACUAAGUCGCUUCGUUCGACGACGCCACUACUAAGUCGAACCUAUGGGUUUGGUCUCUGUACUAUUUACUGCUCGACGACAACAUAACAUGCCACACAUCAAAAUGAAGACCGCUGUUCAAAACAGAGGAAUAAAAGAACAGAUAUACGAGUACCAAAAGAUAACAAUGUUUCAAUUGGUACAACGUUUAACGUUCUAUUAGAAACAAAGGUACGGGUUAGGUGGAGAACGUUGACAUAUAAGUGUAGUACGUUCUUUGUCUCGUCCCGAUUUCGAUCGUGAUACAACCGACAAGAAGUCUUCGAUUGUUUGUCGGUCAACGACUAAUUCGGGAUACGGGUGGUGUGAUGGAAGUUUCGACGCGCCGGAACGCUGUCUCGAGUACUUACGGAAGUACUGAAGGUACCUCCGUAGAGAGACCUCGUUCGUGUACCGCAUGAGGUACUGACGCCGUAGCGUCCCGUCGUACUAGGAGGGCAGUAGCGGCGCACUUGAGGAGGACCCUGUAGGAGUCUUCGAGCGACUUCUAGCUACACGGCUCCAUACGGUCGCCGUGGAGCUUGGCGCGGGACAGCCGCCACAUGUGGUGUGUCACCGGGAAGUAACGGUGGCUGCCACUUCACCGCGUCGUGAGCAGUAAUGGACGAGGAAAGCGGCGACAACACCAGGCCCACAUCACCACGACGAAAUCGAACACGAAAGACCUACUUGACUACUCCACUACCACCACGAUUCGACUACUUAAAUAUGUCUACUCCCCCCUCCUUCUCUUCCCUUGCGACGUCAAAUCCACGUCGAUAGGACUGUCCAACCGUUCCCUGUCUCGGUACUCGAGUUUCGUACGUUACGACAUUCACGUUCCCGUCCGUCACACUAGAACUAAUCUAAAGAGACCCCGAUAGACAAACGGUGAACAACGGCCCCUGCUAUAAUCGUCCAGAGAACAGAACCCACACGAACCUCUGUAGUGUCAUACGAGGGUAUGAGUGGACAAAAUCACCGUUUCUAAUCCGUACGUGCUUAAUUCCAGGUUAAGAUAAACACUCCAUGUGUGAUUAUUAAUACUCACGAACUACUAACCUAGGAUAACUUUACUUUAUACAUCUCACCGGGGACUCUACCUCUAUAGAUCAGACUGUCAACCAGUACGGCCAGUACUGUCUAAUAACUACUUCUUGGUCUAUUCUAGAGUAGUCGCCGGGUUUUGAUGUAUGAGGGAGGCAGGCCUUUAUGAACAGGAACCUUACCUAAUGUUUAUUGACUACAGAUAGUAGUUCACGAUCUGGUGUAGAGUCAACUUUGAACUCUACUGGUAGAUAUAAAAACAGGAUACAUCUUCGUAUCCAAAACAUUCUUUUUACUACAAUUUCGCAUCCCCGUUAAGUCUUGACGACAGCUGCACAAAAAGUACACUUGAAGAUACUAAAUAAUAUUCUUUCAUUUUUGUGUUCUCUUUCCUUCUUCAAACCUGAUUGUUCUAACUAGUAUUAGACACCCUCUAAUAUUAGUAAGAACGGAGGUACGGUAAAACCCGAUUAAUCAUGAGGUAAUAAAAAAUAAGAAAAGAUC